AGAAAGCCAGAGGAUGAUAGGGAAAAAAAUUCUAUACUUCAAUACCAGAAAAAUAAUUCUUUUAGCAAGGUGAAGCUACUUAUUUAAAAAUAAGAAACAUAAUGGGAAACGGCCCUUCAGACUUGGAGAGAUGGGAUCCAGCUCAAAGGCGUAUGCUGGAAGAGGAGAGGAGGGUCACCCUUUGGAGCUCAGGUGCAUAAGAUCCAGUGGACCUCAGAGUGAGCUCAAGGACAGGCGCAUUUCUACUGAAAGACUGACUGGCCUUGCUGAGGGGGACGCACGGGAGUAAAAUUCAUCACAGCACUCACUCUGAGAAACUGCAUUUUUCUCAUUUAUGCCUUUCACGGAAUCAGAGCCUAACAGAAUGAGGUGAUCAGAAGUAGCUUCCAGAACCAGACUCCCUUUGCUGCCUUUAGGUCAAAUGUCAUGAUUUGCUGCUGGAAAUCUCUGCAGUGAGACACUUCGUUUAUUUCCUCUGUUGCCUGAUUUCGGCAGAAGGGAUCCAUGGAUCAGACCUGAUCUCUUUGCUCUGAUUUCCUCUCAGCAAGUCCUGACCAGAAGAACAGGCCUCUUUUUUUUUUUUUUGUCAUAGUGUUGUCAUGAAAUAUAGAAAGCAGCUCCAGCAGCUGGAGCUGUACUUCUUGUCCAGCAUGCAGAAGGUCCUGGAUUUGAUCCUCAAGACUACAGAGCUAAUUAACUAAUUAAAAUAAAGUUGCAUGUGAAAACAAGUCAAAACGACUGGAAAUCGCACAGGCCAAAUCUGACAUCAACUUAGGCACCUUCCUCUUACGAUGGUGCGUUCUGGGAGAUGUUAGACUUGGUGUGGAGACUGUUGGCCACUCGCCACACAAUCAUAGCCUAAUCCAGAAAUAAAUAAAGGAUUUGGCAAUGCUUCCUGAUAACUUGAAUUACAACGAGUAACCAGUGAGCCCAUGUUAGAAGACGCCAUUCCCAACAGCAGCUGAAUGAUCACUCGGACCUCCGCUUCUGUUUGUCCUCUUAGGUAAAUACAGAUUCAUCCUGACAAGGGAUGUGCUUUUGGCUGUGCAGCUCUGAAAGAGCACAGAUCAAGACAAGGUAACAGGACCCCGUGGCAGACCCAGACCAGGUCCGGAAGGGACCUGACGCUACUUUAAACAGUGCUAGCAGAGGGCAAAUACCCAGCAAAUAUUUCCCGCAUUCCUCACCUAUUUUCCUGCUGGAACUUAGAGGAGAUGGGACUCAUCCCUUGCUUAAUGACUACCCAACUUGACACUGGAUUUUCUUGAACAUGGCACCUGGCUUCCUCUGCCUUGGAGGGGUUGCGCUCAGCUAAACAGCUUUAAACGAAUCACUUCCCUUCCUGAGCCCAAGAUUCCCUGGCUGUAAAGCUCAAACUCCAGCUCUCGGAUCUGGGGGAGACGGUGGAGACAUCAGCCCGCGGCCGGGGCCUGAGCCGGACAGGCUGGAAGCUCAGCCCUGGUCUCCCCCGCAGUACCCUGGUCUCCAGCUUCUGGAUCUGCUUCUUGCCGCCCUUCAGCGCCAGCUGCUCGGCCUCGUCCAGCCGGUGCUGCAGGUCCUUGACCGUCUGCUCCAGGUUCUUCUUCAUGCGCUCCAGGUGGGCGCUGGUGUCCUGCUCCUUCUUCAGCUCCUCGGCCAUCAUGGCGGCCUGGGGAGCAGAAAACACCAGCAGAAAUGCAGACCAGCUCAAAGGCCUUCGGGCAUGGAAACUUGGGGGGGCCAAGGACCAGAGACCAGGCUAAAGAAAAACUAAUAAUGGGUGAGGCAGGAGUGAGCAUAUCACCACCCUGGAACAGGACAGGAGCUACAGCCAGGGCAUAAAGUAAUGAACAAAAGGGACCCGCAAGGGCCGGAUGGGGACACUGCUUGGCUUUCCUGAAACCCCUCCGAGGGUCUUCCCCACUGUCACCUACAUACAUGGUAUUUUCAAAAGACUCUGAGACUUGGGAAGGCUGACUUGGUACACAGUCCAUCUGAGAGAUGCUGGGGACAGUUUUGAAGCAGAAUAUACGCCAGGGGUAUCCUGGCGGAGAAUCUGCCCGUCUGGUGGGACUGUCUGGGGUAGGAGAGAGGCGGGGCAUCGUGAAACCCUGUUGGGAAGGCCGCGCAGUGAAGCAGCCAGACAAAGGCCUUACGUCUGUGAUGGCCUUCUUGGCCUUCUCUUCUGCAUUCCUUGCGUCUCUGCUGGCAUCUUCCACCUCACUCUGGAGCUGCGUGAGGUCUGUCUCCAGCUUCUUCUUGGUGUGGAUGAGGCUGGUGUUCUGGGCGAGAGGAGCUAUGUCAUGCCGGUGUGCUCAGGUGGACCCUGGCCCACCUUGCCCGGCCAGCCUCCCUCACCUGGGUAUGCAGCAGCUGCACUCUCUCAUUGGAAUCCAGGAGCUCUUGUUCUGCCAGCUUCCGGGCCCGCUCCGUCUGCUCCAGGGUGGCCUGCAGCUCUUCCACCUCGGCCUGCAGCAGGUUGGCUCUGCGCUCCACGAUCGCCAGCUGCUCCUUCAGGUCCUCCUGGCCGCGGAGAGCGUCGUCCAGGUGCAGCUGGGUGUCCUGGCCAGAGGAAAUAAGAAGACAACAUCUGCAGUGCAGGUUUUAGGAUCAGAAGCCUCAUCACAGCUCAGAGCAGCUAAGGACGGCAGAUUCCCCCAACCCCGCCCUCACCCCACCGCGGGAGCAGCCGCACCUUCAGCUGUCCCUGGACACUCCGGAGGUGCUUGAGAGUCUCUGCAGCCUGGCGGUUGGCGUGGCUCAGCUGGAUCUCGAUCUCAUUCAGGUCGCCUUCCAUCUUCUUCUUGACGCGAAUGGCUUCGUUCCUGCUCCGCACUUCCGCGUCCAGGGCGCUCUGCAUGGUCUCCGCCGUCCUCUGGUAGUUCCUCUUCAGCUGCUCGAUCUCCUCAUCCUUCUCAGCAAUCUUCCUGUCGAUUUCUGAUUUCACCUGGGUCAACUCCAGCUGGAUGCGGAGGAUCUUGGCUUCUUCAUGCUCCAGGGCAGCCUUGAAAGAACAAGAACAAAGCUCAUGGCCUCCGAGCCGGUGCAGCCCACCCUUGGGGUGACAGAGUGCCCCUGGGUAGGCCUCAGCGGACUCUGCAACACUCAAAUCUACCAUCUUUAAACAUCUGAAUUGCUCUUCGUACUGAGCUAUAAGUGCUUUCACUGAGCAUUCAUUUUGAUUAUAUGAUCAAAUAAUAUGUAAAUUAUUCUGGGUUUUGGGAUAGGAGUGCAAAGCACUUUACAGAUAUUUAAACUCAAAUAAAAUUUUAUCAAAUCCC